UCCCUCUCAGGGUCACCCCUGGGGAGUUCGCAGUACUCUACCAGUCUCGACUACAGGAGGGAGAGUCAAGCGGAGGCCUUCCCGUUCCAUUCCUAGCUUGGGCAGUGGCUAGCGAGUGGAAGGCGAUCUACUACAAGU